GUGAAGUGAUCUACAGCCAGAAAUGCAUUAUUAUGCUCUGCGAAGUAAGUGCAUAUCUUAAUUUUUGCAUUUUUUACUAAUUGUUCAUGCUCA